GGAAUUUUGGUAGAAGGCCUUGAAUCAUUUGCCCGGGGUCACAAAGAUAGUAGAAUUAAGGUAACUUAAGAGAGCUGAAGACGGAAGUGGAAUGUUGGAGUUGAGCUGGACAUGAAGAGGAUCACUGCAUAGAUAAAGCAACUCUCCACAUUUGAGCAGGCGAGUUCACAGAAUGCAAGAAAAUACCUCCUACAAUCUUCCAGUUAAUAAUAAUGUUUCAGAGAAAAACAUGUGCUACGUUCAAAAUAAUGAAUGUCUGUUUUGUUUCCUAAGCAGCAAAAAGAGGAGAGAAACUGGGAUUGUGUUUAGGAGCAGUGUCUUGCUGUACAUAUAGCCCAGGCUGGCUCUGAAUGCUCCUACUUCAGCCCCUUCCCGCUGAAAUUGCAGCUGUGU